UUUAACGAAUGACACAUGAAACCUCUUUUUCUUUUUUUCAAGAAAAUACCAGAAAUUAUCUCAUCAAAACUACAAGAAAAGCAUUUGUGCACUUCACAACUGUUGUUCUACUAUUUUGGCAGGUUGGGAGAUCACCAGAGAAGAAGCAAUUUGAACGCGUUGAUUGUCGCCAUUACGAGAGAUUCAACGCAACUUUCUAUGGUUAGAUUUACGAUUAUUGCGCUAUUAUUGAAUUUUUUAAUGUUUCCCCCAUGUCCUUAACUAUGCCUUUCUAAUGUGAGCCUUUGUGCGCCUAGAGGCGCCAAUGCCAAGAAUGUAAUGGCUUUCCUUUCGAUUUUGGGCGUCGUUGUUUGAGCUGCGUCGAGCUGUUUUUGACAUUAACCCCUUCCCACGCACUUCCGCGUUCCGUUUUGCUGGGCCCCUUUUAAUUUUUAAUGACCUCCCGUCAAGUGUAGGCCUAUACAUCAGUAGCCUUGGUGGAGUGUGCGCAAAUAAAUCAAAAGUGCGUCUA